rnacentral:rRNA from 1 species
GAGACUCUGUGCGCGUGCAUAUCAAUAAGCGGAGGAAAAGAAACUAACAAGGAUUUCCUUAGUAACGGCGAGUGAAGCGGGAAGAGCUCAAAUUUGAAAUCUUCAAGGUUCUACCUUGACGAAUUGUAGUUUAUAGAAGUGUUUUCUGUUAGUGGAGUGGCAAAAGUUCUUUGGAAUAGGACAUCAUAGAGGGUGAGAAUCCCGUAUUUGGUCAUUCCUCCUAGCGUUGUGAUACACUUUCAACGAGUCGGAUUGUUUGGGAAUGCAGUCCAAAAUGGGUGGUAAAUUUCAUCUAAAGCUAAAUAUUGGCGAGAGACCGAUAGCGAACAAGUACCGUGAGGGAAAGAUGAAAAGAACUUUGAAAAGAGAGUUAAACAGUACGUGAAAUUGUCAAAAGGGAAGCGUUUGACACCAGUGUUGUUUUUCCGAAAAUCAAUUACGAAUGUUUUAUUUUUGAGGAGUUAUGACUUCAUCGGCUUGCUCCUUUCUUUAUGAAACUUUCUUAAUGCACUUUUCGGUUAACAAGUCAACAUCAAUUUCUUUUGUUGUAAAAGGGUAUGAGGAAGGUGGCUUUCUUUUCGGAGAAAGUGCUUAUAGCCUUGUGCCUCUGCAAUCCGGAGAGAUUGAGGUCUGCAGCGUAGAUCCUUCGGGGUUAGAUGCAUUUGUGCUAAGCUAUAGCCUUGUAUAGACAACUUGUUGACUAUGCUCUAGUCAUGUAGCUUACUCGCUUAUGCUAUUUUACCUACGCUUAGGAUGUUGACAGCAGUAUAGACUGU